ACCAUUUGGCCAAGCAGUCAUCUUUAAAAAUUCAUCUUAAAGAGAUAAACAUAGCAAUGUAUAAAGAGUUAGCUACAACAACAUUGUUUAUAACAAUAUACUAUGGGAAAUAAUCCAAAUGUCAGAAAAUAGGACACUAGAAAAGUUGGACAUCCC